UGUAUCAUUGAUAGUUUUGAUGGUUGAAGGUUGUAAAGAAUAUCUCAGCAGGAAAGGUUGUAAAGAAUAUGAUUACCAUCUGGGUGGACUCCUUGUUCAUUUUAUUCACCAAUAAAUUGUCUUCUUUCUUAUUUGAAGAUAAAGAAGUAUAAUUUUCUAUAUUUUUCAGAAACCUUAUUGCUUCAUAUAUUCUGCAUCUUGUCUGCACAGGCAAAGGCUCUUUGUGGUGGGUGGUGGAGGAGCUGUAGGUUUUGCUGCAAUCUGAGGGAUUGAUAGUGUGCUUAUGUGGAAUUCAUUGGAAUUAAGUGGACUUGAGAAGUAUUAGUACACUUUGUUACUAAUUUGAAUUGCUGAUCGGAAGACCUUUCGAACCAGAGCUUAAUCCGGCUAUUCUUGCUUCUAAAAUGCACUGUGAGUUUUAUCAAACAUCUUGUAUGCCAAAUUAUAUGAAUAUAUUUUGUUGAUUUUUGUCAUA